rnacentral:lncRNA from 1 species
UUUUAUUUUUUGAGUCUAUUUAUUGGGAUGACAUGGUUCUAUUCACUGUAACACCAUGCUAAUGUUUCCUAUCGUUUUUUGGGGGAUAACAAAGGUGCUUUGGAAGUCAGAUGGCUUCUGUGACACUGCUGGGUGGGCUCUUUGACAGAGCUGGGUCUGGUGUCAUGUCCCAAAGGAUGUUCCCUGGGCUGCACUGGCCUGUGUCCUGGGACGCCAGCUCGUCCCUCUUGCUCCUCCACUGCCAGGGGUAUGGCAGGGCAGGAAGACAAGACCACCAAGAGCAAAGCAGGCCCAAGUCCCUCUGUGUCCCCUGAGGAGACCUCAGUCAUAUGCCUCUACCUGCUGGAAGACACAGCCUGGGCCCGCAGAGUCGAGAGAGGAGAUGCAGACAGAUUUCUACACAUUGAAGGUGAAGCUAGGAGU